UUCGCAAUGCCCGAAAGGGUGACGAAGUGACGCCGCGUGUGGGAAGAAGGCCUUCGGGUUGUAAACCACUGUUGGGAGUUAGGAAGUGUGGAGGUGUUAAUAGCGCUUUCACUUGACUAAAGCUCCAGAGGAAGCCACGGCUAACUCUGUGCCAGCAGCCGCGGUAAUACAGAGGCGGCAAGCGUUGUUCGGAAUUAUUGGGCGUAAAGAGCACGUAGGCGGCUCUGCAAGUCAGCUGUGAAAGCCUUCUGCUUAACGGAAGAACGGCAGUUGAAACUACAGGGCUUGAGUACGGGAGGGGAGAGUGGAACUUCUGGUGGAGCGGUGAAAUGCGUAGAUAUCAGAAGGAACGCCGGCGGCGAAAGCGGCUCUCUGGUCCGUAACUGACGCUGAGUGUGCGAAAGCUAGGGGAGCAAACGGGAUUAGAUACCCCGGUAGUCCUAGCCGUAAACGAUGGGCACUAAGUAGAG
rnacentral:rRNA from 1 species